AGAGUUUGAUCAUGGCUCAGAGCGAACGCUGGCGGAAUGCUUAACACAUGCAAGUCGCACGGCCGGCAACGGCAGUGGCGGACGGGUGAGUAACGCGUAGGAACGUAUCCUGAGAUGGGGGACAACCCUGGGAAACUGGGGCUAAUACCGCAUGUCACCUGAGGGUGAAAGCCGCGAGGCGUCUUGGGAGCGGCCUGCGUCCGAUUAGCUUGUUGGUGGGGUAAAGGCCUACCAAGGCUAUGAUCGGUAGCUGGUCUGAGAGGACGAUCAGCCACACUGGGACUGAGACACGGCCCAGACUCCUACGGGAGGCAGCAGUGGGGAAUAUUGGACAAUGGGCGCAAGCCUGAUCCAGCAAUUCCGCGUGGGUGAAGAAGGUCUUCGGAUUGUAAAGCCCUUUCGGCGGGGACGAUGAUGACGGUACCCGCAGAAGAAGCCCCGGCUAACUUCGUGCCAGCAGCCGCGGUAAUUC
rnacentral:rRNA from 1 species